rnacentral:lncRNA from 10 species
AUUUUAAAUUACUAUUUAAAUCAGCUUGCUUUGUAAAGAGAUAUUCAGAUUUUUUGCAGUUUUUUUUUUCCUUGAGUCAAUUUCAAUAGUUUCUACUUUCUAAGGAAUUUAUCUAUUUCACAUAAAUGCAUAAAUUUUUGGUAUAAAGUUGUUUGUAACAUUCUGUUAUCAUUCUUUUAAUGUUUGUAGGGUCUAUAGUGAUCUCAAUCAUCCAGAUAUUGAUCAUGAUUUCUCUUUUUUCUUUUUUGCAAGAACUUUUCCCUUUCUAUGGCUUGUCUUUUCAUCUUAACAGUCUUUCAAAGAACAAAAAUUUUCAAUUAAUUCAAAUUUAUCUGUAUUUUCUUUUAUGAAACAUGCCUUUUAGAAUCAUACCUAAACUGUUCUUCAUUAAUUGGAUGUUAUCUGACCCACAAAACCAUUAAAAAUGGGAUGUUCAUAGCAGCGUUCCAUUAUAAAAUGGAAAUGGCAUUCUACACUCUAUCAACUGUCCAUUGCUACACUCUUCUGCU